UACAGAGGUCCCAAGCGUGGUUCGGAUUCACGGGGCGUAAAGGGGGCGUAGGUGGCCAGGUAAGUUCGGGGGGAAAGCUCGGAGCUUAACUCCGAAAUGUCAUUGAAUACUAUCUGGCUAGAGGGUCGGAGGGGAGACUGGAAUUCUCGGUGUAGCAGUGAAAUGCGUAGAUAUCGAGAGGAACACCAGUGGCGAAGGCGAGUCUCUGGACGACUCCUGACACUGAGGCACGAAAGCUAGGGGAGCAAACAGG
rnacentral:rRNA from 1 species